rnacentral:rRNA from 1 species
CCCUUAGAUGUUCUGGGCUGCACGCGCGCUACACUGAUGCGUUCAACGAGUGUACAUCCUUGCCCGGUAGGGUUGGGUAAUCUUCUGAACACGCAUCGUGAUGGGGAUAGAUUAUUGCAAUUAUUAAUCUUCAACGAGGAAUUCCUAGUAAUGGUGAAUCAUCAGUUCAUCGUGAUUACGUCCCUGCCCUUUGUACACACCGCCCGUCGCUCCUACCGAUUGAGCAAACCGGUGAAUAAUUCGGACUGCGGCAUUGACCGGUUCCCGAUCGUUGCUGCGGAAAGUUUAGUGAACCUUAUCACUUAGAGGAAGGAGAAGUCGUAACA